UACGAAGGAGGCUAGCGUUGCUCGGAAUCACUGGGCGUAAAGGGUGCGUAGGCGGGUCUUUUAAGUCAGGGGUGAAAUCCUGGAGCUCAACUCCAGAACUGCCUUUGAUACUGAAGAUCUUGAGUUCGGGAGAGGUGAGUGGAACUGCGAGUGUAGAGGUGAAAUUCGUAGAUAUUCGCAAGAACACCAGUGGCGAAGGCGGCUCACUGGCCCGAUACUGACGCUGAGGUGCGAAAGCGUGGGGAGCAAACAGG
rnacentral:rRNA from 1 species